AUUGGUGCCCGAAAGGGAGCCUGGACACAGGUGCUGCAUGGCUGUCGUCAGCUCGUGUCGUGAGAUGUUGGGUUAAGUCCCGCAACGAGCGCAACCCUUGUCAUUAAUUGCCAUCAUUUAGUUGGGCACUUUAAUGAGACUGCCGGUGACAAACCGGAGGAAGGUGGGGAUGACGUCAAGUCCUCAUGGCCCUUAUGGGUAGGGCUUCACACGUCAUACAAUGGUCGGUACAGAGGGUUGCCAAGCCGCGAGGUGGAGCCAAUCCCAGAAAGCCGAUCGUAGUCCGGAUCGCAGUCUGCAACUCGACUGCGUGAAGUCGGAAUCGCUAGUAAUCGCGGAUCAGCAUGUCGCGGUGAAUACGUUCCCGGGUCUUGUACACACCGCCCGUCACACCAUGGGAGUGGGUUCUACCAGAAGUAGUUAGCCUAACCGUAAGGAGGGCGAUUACCACGGUAGGAUUCAUGACUGGGGUGAAGUCGUAACAAGG
rnacentral:rRNA from 1 species